rnacentral:rRNA from 1 species
AUGCGUUGUUGGGUAGGGGAGCGUUCUGUAAGCCUGCGAAGGUGGCCUGUGAGGGUUGCUGGAGGUAUCAGAAGUGCGAAUGCUGACAUAAGUAACGAUAAAGCGGGUGAAAAGCCCGCUCGCCGGAAGACCAAGGGUUCCUGUCCAACGUUAAUCGGGGCAGGGUGAGUCGACCCCUAAGGCGAGGCCGAAAGGCGUAGUCGAUGGGAAACGGGUUAAUAUUCCCGUACUUGGUGUUACUGCGAAGGGGGGACGGAGAAGGCUAUGUUGGCCGGGCGACGGUUGUCCCGGUUUAAGCGUGUAGGUGUGUGUUCCAGGUAAAUCCGGUU